CCUACGGGCGGCAGCAGUGGGGAAUAUUGCACAAUGGGGGAAACCCUGAUGCAGCGAUGCCGCGUGGAGGAAGAAGGUUUUCGGAUUGUAAACUCCUUUUAUCAGGGACGAUAAUGACGGUACCUGAAGAAAAAGCUCCGGCUAACUACGUGCCAGCAGCCGCGGUAAUACGUAGGGAGCGAGCGUUAUCCGGAUUUAUUGGGUUUAAAGGGAGCGUAGGCCGGUCUUUAAGCGUGCCGUGAAAUUUUGUGGCUCAACCAUGAGAGUGCGGCGCGAACUGGAGACCUUGAGUGCGCGGAAGGCAGGCGGAAUUCGUGGUGUAGCGGUGAAAUGCUUAGAUAUCACGAAGAACCCCGAUUGCGAAGGCAGCCUGCCGCAGCGUUACUGACGCUGAAGCUCGAAAGCGCGGGUAUCGAACAGGAUUAGAUACCCUUGUAGUC
rnacentral:rRNA from 1 species